AUGAGCGGCAACAACUGCUAAUCAAUGACCGCGUGGCGGUGAGGGGAGCACAGCGGUGAGUAAGUCUCCCCGCGCGGGGGGUGCGUGAUGGCAGUCGCUGG
rnacentral:SRP_RNA from 11 species